CCGGCGCACGGGUGAGUAACGCGUAUCCAACCUGCCGUCUACUCUUGGACAGCCUUCUGAAAGGAAGAUUAAUACAAGGUGGCAUCAUGAGUCCGCAUGUUCACAUGAUUAAAGGUAUUCCGGUAGACGAUGGGGAUGCGUUCCAUUAGAUAGUAGGCGGGGUAACGGCCCACCUAGUCUUCGAUGGAUAGGGGUUCUGAGAGGAAGGUCCCCCACAUUGGAACUGAGACACGGUCCAA
rnacentral:rRNA from 1 species